GGAUGGGUGAGUAACACGUGGGGAACCUGCCCCUUAGUCUGGGAUACCAUUUGGAAACAGGUGCUAAUACCGGAUAAUAAAGCGGAUCGCAUGAUCAGCUUUUGAAAGGCGGCGUAAGCUGUCGCUAAGGGAUGGCCCCGCGGUGCAUUAGCUAGUUGGUAAGGUAACGGCUUACCAAGGCGACGAUGCAUAGCCGAGUUGAGAGACUGAUCGGCCACAUUGGGACUGCGACACGGCCCAAACUCCUACGGGAGGCAGCAGUAGGGAAUCUUCCACAAUGGACGCAAGUCUGAUGGAGCAACGCCGCGUGAGUGAAGAAGGUUUUCGGAUCGUAAAGUUCUGUUGUUGGUGAAGAAGGAUAGAGGUAGUAACUGGCCUUUAUUUGACGGUAAUCAACCAGAAAGUCACGGCUAACUACGUGCCAGCAGCCGCGGUAAUACGUAGGUGGCAAGCGUUGUCCGGAUUUAUUGGGCGUAAAGCGAGCGCAGGCGGAAAAAUAAGUCUAAUGUGAAAGCCCUCGGCUUAACCGAGGAACUGCAUCGGAAACUGUUUUUCUUGAGUGCAGAAGAGGAGAGUGGAACUCCAUGUGUAGCGGUGGAAUGCGUAGAUAUAUGGAAGAACACCAGUGGCGAAGGCGGCUCUCUGGUCUGCAACUGACGCUGAGGCUCGAAAGCAUGGGUAGCGAACAGGAUUAGAUACCCUGGUAGUCCAUGCCGUAAACGAUGAGUGCUAAGUGUUGGGAGGUUUCCGCCUCUCAGUGCUGCAGCUAACGCAUUAAGCACUCCGCCUGGGGAGUACGACCGCAAGGUUGAAACUCAAAGGAAUUGACGGGGGCCCGC
rnacentral:rRNA from 1 species